rnacentral:rRNA from 1 species
UACGGGGGGGUGCGAGCGUUGUCCGGAUUCACUGGGCGUAAAGGGCGCGUAGGCGGCUGGCUCAGUCGGGCCUGUAAGUGCGGGGCUCAACCCCGUGAUGGGGUCCGGGACGGGCUGGCUGGGGCGCGGUCGAGGGAGACGGAAUGCCGGGUGAGUGGUGAAAUGCGUAGAUAUCGGGAGGAACACCAGUGGCGAAGGCGACUACCUGGCCUGUUCUUGACGCUGGAGGCGCGAAAGCUAGGGGAGCAAACGGG